rnacentral:rRNA from 1 species
GAUGAACGCUGGCGGCGUGCUUAACACAUGCAAGUCGAACGGGAAACCUUUUAUUGAAGCUUCUGCAGAUUUAGCUGGUUGCUAAUUGCGUACGGAGUAGUAACGCGUGGGUAACCUGCCCUAUACAGGAGGCUAACAACCAUAAAUGGUUGCUAAUACCGCAUCAUCGCGCAGGGCCGCAUGUUCCGGUGUUAAGAACUCCGUUGGUAUAGGAUGGACCCGCGUUGGAUUAGCCAGUUGGCAGUGUAACGGCCGAGCAAAGAGGCGAUCCAUAGCCGGCCUGGGAGGGUGACCGGCCACAUUGGGAAUGAGACACGGCCCACACUCCUACGGGAAGAAGGAGUGGGGAAUAUUGCAGAAUGGGGGAAAACGUGAUGAAGCGACGCGGCGUGAAGGAAGCAGUAUCUUGGUAUGCACAUUUCUAUCAGAAGGGAAGAUAGUGACGGUACCUGACUAAGAAGCCCCGGCUAACUACGUG